GGACACAAGCUACAAAUCAUAUAAACUCCACAAAUUACGCAGAUGAAGAAGACCCUGCCUCACACAGAUACGUGGUAGGGAAAGGAAGGACCUGACAUCACUCUCCAAAAGAUCUCUGGGUUCACAGCGAUCCUCUGUCUACACUUUGAGAAUCACCGACGUAAGUGCUGGUCCUUCUUUUUAUAAUACAGUUUCCUUUUUGUAAACAUAUGGUGAUAAUAAUAGUACUUCAGAGUAUUCUGGAAUUAUAACACGAAAACCACUACAGUGGCAGGCAGAAAUCUACACCUGUUCAUAAAAUAGGAAAACUCUUUCUCUGGGGCAUUUGGGAGACAUGUAGCCAUCCAAAGUAACAUGGUUACUAAAGCAAUUGAUAUUUCCAAUAGAUAUGUAGGUUUCACAUUUCUCCACUGCAACCAAAAACUAAGAAUUUUCUAAAGAAAGUUUUGAAGUUUCUUAUGUGGUUUUGGUAAAGAAACAUCUUUUUUUCAGGAGUAAGAUACGACUUCUGGCUCACUUUCAAAGUGGAGAUAUAUUUCUCUGAAACCCAUUGCAUAGUUAUCUUGGCAUUCUUUGAUCUAUAAAAUGUACUCAUGUGUCUCGUUUUAGCUUAGGUCAAGGGUGGAACUAAUCCCUAUUGGACAUUUUUAAAGGCAGAACGUAAGUUUCUCAUGGCAGACCUCAUAAUGGGUUCUGUGCACUGCAACCAAUCCAAUAUGAGCUAGAAUGAUGGUAAUACAUACACUGCAGUGAGCUUGAUUGCAUGUACUCCGUGCAGCUGAAAUGUGGGGAUAAUUCACAGGGCCAUUUUACAACAGGGCGCGUUCUGUUUAAUACGACGCAGUGACUCAGCUUGGGAAGGUGGGACCUGGGGGACAGGAUGGCACAGAACCCUCUGUCCUUUAUCUCCACCCCAGAGGUCAAGCGGAUGGUCUACAACCCCCACCCUCUGGAGAGAACCACACUCGAGUCCCACGGUUGCUCUUGAGGGCCAGGCAUGGGUGGGGAACAGAUGUUUUCCUCUGAUCUGCCGCAAAUAUGGAUUGUAUCUCAACAUAGCAUGUCAUGGUGGUUGAGGAGUAGUUGCAGACUGGAUUUCAGAGAACGAGUCAAGGUGGAGGAACUGGAAAGAAGGAGCUCCCAGGACCUGGCCCUGGGGGUGCAGAGGCUUCUUCAGCUGCCAUGUUUCCUACGUCAGUAGGAAGCUACUAAGCUGCACACAAAUGUUCGGUUCCAUGGAAAAUGGAAGUCUGUUCUAAGGCUCAUGGCUGAGCCUAGAAGGAAGCUCCAGUUUCCUGUGAACUAUGUCAACUUAGCUUAUAUACAAAUAUUGAGCAAAAUAAGAAAAAUAUUUUAGUCAAAUAACAUGUCCCAUAAACCACUGUCCAAGCAUAAACUGGAUUAUUAUUACUAUUAUUGUUUGUGCUCCUGACAAUACAUAAAUAGCCAGGGAUUUUUUGCUACUUUAUUAAGAUAUAAUUGACGUAUGCUGUUAUAUGUUUAAGGUGUGUGGCAUGAUGAUUUGAUAUACGUAUGAAUUGCAAGAUGGUUACCAUAGUAAAGUUGGUUAACAUCCCCAUCAUCUCACAUGUUACCUUUAUUUCCCUCGUUUCAUUGAGAUAUAAUUGAUGUACGUCACUGUAGAAGUUUAAGAUAUACAACAUAUUGACUCAACACACAUAUAUUGCGAAACGAUCACCACAGUAAGUUUAGUUAACAUUCAUCUCUUCAUAUAGUGACAAAACAAUUUUUUUUUCUCUGUGAUGAGAACUUUCAGGAUCUGCUGUCUUAGCAACUUUCUAAUAUACCAUACAGCAUUGUUAACUGUAGUCAUCAUGUCGCACAUUACCUGCUCGGUCCUUAGUUCAUCUUAUAACUGAAACUUCGUACCUAUUGACCACCUUCAUCCAUUCCCCCUGCCCACCUGACCAUUUUGUGUGUGUGUGGUGAGAAUGCUCAAGAUCUGCUCUUUAGCAGCUUUGAAGUAUACAGCACAGCAUAUAUUAUUUUAUAUGUGAUAUAUGUAUAUGUGCAUAUAUACUAUAUAUUGUUAACAGAUUUUUUUAAAAGCGGGUCUCACUUUCAUUUUUGUGAA
ensembl:lncRNA